rnacentral:rRNA from 1 species
ACCUACGGGGCGCAGCAGUGGGGAAUUUUGGACAAUGGGGGCAACCCUGAUCCAGCCAUGCCGCGUGAGUGAAGAAGGCCUUCGGGUUGUAAAGCUCUUUCGGACGGAAAGAAAUCGCACGGGCUAAUACCCUGUGUGGAUGACGGUACCGUAAGAAGAAGCACCGGCUAACUACGUGCCAGCAGCCGCGGUAAUACGUAGGGUGCGAGCGUUAAUCGGAAUUACUGGGCGUAAAGCGUGCGCAGGCGGUUUAUUAAGACAGAUGUGAAAUCCCCGGGCUUAACCUGGGAACUGCAUUUGUGACUGGUAAGCUAGAGUGUAGCAGAGGGGGGUAGAAUUCCACGUGUAGCAGUGAAAUGCGUAGAGAUGUGGAGGAAUACCGAUGGCGAAGGCAGCCCCCUGGGUUAACACUGACGCUCAUGCACGAAAGCGUGGGGAGCAAACAGGAUUAGAUACCCCGGUAGG